CUUGGUUCAGAACGAACGCUGGUGGCGUGCUUAUACAUGCAAGUCGAGCGAGGCAGCAAUGCCGAGCGGCGAACGGGUGAGUAACGCGUAAGCAAUCUGCCCCAUAUCAGGAAAUACCCGUGCCAACGCGCGGUUAAUGUCCAGGAGAGUGGCCUUCUGCAUGGAGGGUUGACUAGAGAUUUAUCGGUAUGGGAUGAGCUUGCGUCCGAUUAGCUAGUUGGCGGGGCAACGGCCCACCAAGGCGACGAUCGGUAGCCGGCCUGAGAGGGUGAUCGGCCACAUUGGGACUGAGAUACGGCCCAGACUCCUACGGGAGGCAGCAGUAGGAAUAUUGCACAUGGGGAAACCCUGAUGCAGCAACGCCACGUGUGGGAAAGAAGCAUCUCGGUGUGUAAACCACUGUCAUGAGGGAAUAAGGCCCAGUUUAGGCUGGACUUGAAUGUACCUUGAGAGGAAGCACCGGCAAACUUCGUGCCAGCAGCGGC
rnacentral:rRNA from 1 species